GCUCCCCUGUGAAAACGCCCUUAAACCCCUUUUAGGGACAAGGAGCUGGAAUCAGGCACGAAAAUCUGCCCAAAACACCUAGCUAUGCCACACCCACAAGGGAAUUCAGCAGUGAUUAACAUUGAAAAUAAGCGAAAGCUUGACUCAGUUAAAGUAAGAUAGAGCCGGCUAAUCUGGUGCCAGCCGCCGCGGUUACACCACGUGGCUCAAAUUGACCCCCUACGGCGUAAAGCGUGAUUAAAGUUUUCAUUUUCUAGAGUUAAAUUAAAAUUAAGCUGUGACACGCCUGUUUAUUAAGAAACCCAAAAACGAAAGUUACUCUAACUCAAUCAACUUGAACUCACGACAGCUGGGGAACAAACUGGGAUUAGAUACCCCACUAUGCCCAGCAGUAAACUUUUAUUUACACCUGAAUCGCCAGGGAACUACGAGCUAAGCUUAAAACCCAAAGGACUUGACGGUACCCCAUAUCCCCCUAGAGGAGCCUGUCCUAUAAUCGAUAAUCCACGUUUAACCUCACCAUCUCUAGUUACUCAGCCUGUAUACCUCCGUCGUCAGCUUACCACGUGAGCGCUAAUUAGUGAGCCUAAUGUUCUUUCACCAACACGUCAGGUCAAGGUGCAGCAUAUGAGAUGGGAAGAGAUGGGCUACACUUUCUAUUCUAGAAGAAACGAAAAA
rnacentral:rRNA from 1 species